rnacentral:rRNA from 1 species
GGGCACGACACCGGAGAGGGAGCCUGAGAAACGGCUACCACAUNCAAGGAUGGCAGCAGGCGCGCAAAUUACCCAAUCCCGACACGGGGGGGUAGUGACAAUAAAUAACAAUACGGGGUUCUUUAGGAUCUCGUAAUUGGAAUGAGUACAAUUUAAAUCUCUUAACGAGGAACAAUUGGAGGGCAAGUCUGGUGCCAGCAGCCGCGGUAAUUCCAGCUCCAAUAGCGUAUAUUAAAGUUGUUGCAGUUAAAAAGCUCGUAGUUGAAUUUCGGGGUUAGUAGGUUGGUCAUGCCUCUGGUAUGUACUGGUCUCACUGAUUCCUCCUUCCUGAUGAACCGUAAUGCCAUUAAUUUGGUGUUGCGGGGAAUUUGGACUGUUACUUUGAAAAAAUUAGAGUGUUUAAAGCAAGCUAACGCUUGAAUACAUUAGCAUGGAAUAAUGAAAUAGGACGUUCGAUCCUAUUUUGUUGGUUUCUAGGAUUGACGUAAUGAUUAAUAGGGAUAGUUGGGGGCAUUAGUAUUCAAUUGUCAGAGGUGAAAUUCUUGGAUUUAUUGAAGACUAACUACUGCGAAAGCAUUUGCCAAGGAUGUUUUCAUUAAUCAAGAACGAAAGUUAGGGGAUCGAAGACGAUCAGAUACCGUCGUAGUCUUAACCAUAAACUAUGCCGACUAGGGAUCGGAUGAUGUUAAUUUUUUAAUGACUCAUUCGGCGCCUUACGGGAAACCAAAGUGUUUGGGUU